rnacentral:misc_RNA from 1 species
GAUGAAGAACGUAGCGAAAUGCGAUAAGUAGUGUGAAUUGCAGAAUUCCGUGAAUCAUUGAAUCUUUGAACGCACAUUGCGCCUCCUGGUAAUCCGUGAGGCAUGCCUGUCCGAGCGUCAGUAAAAAGCAACUCGGCCGCGGCUGGCGGUUGGUGAUGGAGGAAGAGCACGUCUCGUUGUCGGUCUCCCCUCCCAAAAUCAACGGCGGAAUGUCACUGGCACUCGGUGUUGUAGUAUUAUUCGCCGAUCACCCAUUGUUGUUCCUGCCGCCCAAACCCCCACAAUUCUCUUGAUUGACCUCGGAUCAGGUAGGGAUACCAGCUGAACUUAAGCAUAUCAAUAAGCGGAGGA